rnacentral:lncRNA from 1 species
AUGAGGCUGAAGAGCAAAGCGAUGGGAUGCAGCCAAGGAGUCAGCUGGAAGCUGCUGCUGCUGCUACUGGGGAGCCCUGCUGGGGGCAACGGCAAACCACCCGCUUCUCCUCCUCCAGCUGUUGCGGCUGCUGCUUCCUCCUCCGCCGCCACUACCUCCUUCUCCUCCAGAUUGCAGCCGAUCUCCCCCCGGACCAACCUGACCACCAGAGCCAGCAAGAAGGACAGGGAUCCGGCGCAGAGAGCCGAGGAAAGUUUCCGGGAGCUCCAGAUUUUCUGCAGCACCAGGUCUCCCCAGCAGAGCUGGCAGGUUAAUUUCCACUUCAGGGUCUUCUUGAUGACAGAAGAGCUAUUAAUAAUAGUCCAAGCAUUGGGUGUGAAAAUACCUAGACUUCCUAGAACCACAGCUGAGAAUCAGAGUGGUAAGCUCAACCAAUCAGCCAUCCAAGAUACCAUAGAUAAAUUGAAUUGCAUGCAUUUUACUCUUGAGGGGGGUGUCUUUUAGAUGAGACAUUGAGAAUUGUAGCUUGUCUGCAGUGUGACAUGUGUUUUAAUAGUAGGCUAUCUUUGGUCAAAAGUAUUUCCUCUCCAUUGUUCUAUAGUAAAUUGGAUGUUUACUACUCACUUCUCCACAGAUGGAUACAUUUAAGGUGUGUUUUUCUGUUUGAUUUGUAAAGGGCUUUUGAGUGAAAGUCAGUAUUAGUUUGAUUUCCAGAGACUCCGAGCACCUGCAGCUCCCAGUGAAAUCAAUGAGAUGCAGAGAUACUCAGCACAUCAAGAGUCAGGCUGUAUGCAAAUCAGAUUAAAAUCUUAGAAGAAUAAGAUGCAUAUGAUUCCUUUGGACCACUUAUGUCGGCAUUUCUAUUAGUGCGCUUCAUCUCACUGACUCAAAAUUCAAAAUGAUCUGGACAAAUUGGAGAAAUGGUCUGAGUUAAACAGGAUGAAGUUUAACAAAGACAAAUGCAAAGUGCUCCACUUAGGAAGAAAAAGUCAGUUUCACACAUACAGAAUGGGAAGAGACUGUCUAGGAAGGAGUACGGCAGAAAGGGAUCUAGGAGUUAUAG